UAGAAGCUUUGAGUUAAUAAAUCUCUUCUG
rnacentral:piRNA from 2 species